UACGUAGGGAGCAAGCGUUAUCCGGAAUUACUGGGCGUAAAGGGCGUGUAGGCGGCAGAUUAAGCCAGAUGUAAAAUGUUACAGCUCAACUGUAGAUGUGCAUCUGGAACUGGUUUGCUAGAGGGUGAGAGAGGAAAGUAGAAUUCCUAGUGUAGCGGUGGAAUGCGUAGAUAUUAGGAGGAAUACCAGUGGCGAAGGCGGCUUUCUGGCUCAUACCUGACGCUGAGGCGCGAAAGCGUGGGGAGCAAACAGGAUUAGAUACCCUGGUAGUCCACGCCGUAAACGAUGAGUACUAGGUGUAGGAGGCAAAAACCUUCUGUGCCGCAGCUAACGCAAUAAGUACUCCGCCUGGGGAGUACGCUCGCAAGAGUGAA
rnacentral:rRNA from 1 species